UCUUGACAUUGAGCAGGUCCUGGUACUCUCGGAGCUGUGCCGCCAUCUCCCAUUUGGUGUUUCUCAGCUCACUGUCCAGCUGCUGAAUAGCGUCCUGGGGAUGACAGAUCAGGCAAAGUCAUCUGCCAGCCAGUACCUGGCCCUCAGUUCAGUGCCUGCAGGUGUCAAGGCUUGGCAAGUGUCUGCUCUUUGACUGCCUGGCAAGCCAGAGGGUCCCCAGAAGCAUGCUGACCAGAGACAAAACGUCUCCCCCCUGAGCACUGCUUCAAGUGAACCUUGUCCUUUACCUCCUGAGUUUUCUCCAGUCCUAAUGGCUCUGUAAUCAUCGCGUUCACUUGUUUACCCAGUUCUAAGAAAGUGACACUUUUCUCCCCAA